CAAACCCUCAAUCCUGAGGCUCCCCUGCUGAUGCUGAGGUGUGCCCUGUGCCAGCCCAAAAGAGUGUGUGGAUAAAAAUUGUCAUAGGGAAGAGGACAAGUGGUAGUUGAAUGGACAAGCAAAUGCAAUACAUCCAUAAAAUGGAAAACUACCCAGUAAUAAUAAGCAACAU
rnacentral:lncRNA from 1 species